CAAUCUUAAAUUUAAGUUCAAUUGUAAAAUUUUAUUCUCUCCAAUUCUAAAACACUGUCUACCUAAACCCUUCCUUCCUCUAAAAAUCUGUCUGAACCCUAAAAUCCCUUUCUUUCCUGCGUUAUGCUUUUUCCAUCCUAUGUGUCCUUCGUUUCUUUCUUUCUUUCUUCUUCUAUUUCCUCUUCUCCUUUGUUUUUCUUAUUUCUCCUUUCGAUUGCCCAUGUUUCAUUUUUCUUUCAAAUUCACAGUCGCGGAACUCCUGGUAGACGAAGCUACAAAGGUGGUUGUGUGGACCAAGCAGACGGCGGAGCUUCCACUCAUAACGUGACAGGUUUAUUUUAUUUUUUUUAUGUUGUUGGACUCUGCACAAAACACACCAUUCGGUUCUUAAUUAUUCGAUUUCAGUUCUUUAUGAGUUUGUUGAGAGACUGGGUGAGGACGGUGAUGCAGUAGAAAUUUGGGGAUCUAUUCUUUGAACCUGCAACAAUCAUGGGUACUUGGAACUGGGAAAAGUUAUUGCACAAAAGUUGCUUAAUAUGGAAUUGGAAAAAAAGGAUUGAUGGAUAUCAUGUUCUGCUAUCAAAUAUCUACGCAGAGGAGGCGAAAUGGGAAAAUGUUGAUAGAGUGAGAAAUCAUAUUAAGGAAAAAGGUUUGCAAAAGGAAAUGGCAUGUAGCUGGGUUGAAAUCGUUGGGUCUGUGAAUUACUUUGUAGCUAGAGAUGAGAAGCACCCUUUAAGCGGUGAGAUAUAUUAUAUCUUGGGCAUAUGGAUUUUGGAAUCAAGUGACUGAAAUGAAAUAAAUUAUGCCAAACUUUAUCAAAUUAGAUGUCGGUUAGGUUUGAUUAUGACCAACACUACCCGCAUAAGUUCAUCCAGUGUGCACAUGACUAGAGCUGUCAUUGGUCAUUCAUUUGAAACAAUAUUUCAUUGAUGAAAAACAUAUUAAUUCAUGCACAGCACCGUUAGACAGCUAAAUAGUGACAAUUUUGAUUCUACUUUUUGCUCCUGAAUCAACAAAUGUUGUGGUUAUUACUUCAAUAAAGGUAUAAUUUUUCAACUCGACACUUUUUACAUGAUGUAGCAUUUAAAUGCAGCAUAAAAAAUGGGAAAGUUCAACUCAAGCGUCACUUCUUCAGAUUUGGUUCACUGUGGUAUUCUACUUUUCCUACUUCUAUUAUCACUCUAUUCCAUUCAACCUGCAUCUUGUGCCUCCAGAGUGAAGUUCCUUCCAGGAUUCGAGGGACCCCUUCCUUUUGUUCUUGAAAUUGGGGAGUGGGAGAAUCCGAGGAUGUGCAAACAUUUUACUACUUCAUUGAGUCAGAUAACAACCCUAAGGAAGAUCCUCUCCUGCUUUAGCUAUCCGGUGCCCCUGGUUGCUCAUCCCUAACUGACCUUUUUCUUGAAAUAAGUAACACUUUAUUUUCCUUUUCAUGUUGCGCUUAGAAAGAAACAAAACUAUGUUGACUUUGUAUGAGUGAUAUAGGUCCACUUUCAUUAGAACAGGAGGAGUACAAUGAAGGUGCACCCAACUUGAUCUUCGAGAAUCAAUCAUGGAACAAGACUUGCCUUUUUUCACAGACUUUACUUAUGCCAGAACAGAACUUGCUGUUCAAAGUAGUGAUAAGUUGUUAGCUGGUCAAGCCCAUCAAUUUCUAAGGAAGGAAGCAAAGCAUGAUUCACUGGUGGAAACUUGGAUUGUUGGAAUUUCUUUUAUGUACUAGUUUGUUUCAAAUGAGUGGGUGCUAGUUUUGUUGUCAAGCAAGAGAUGAUGCAACCUAGUGCCAGCAUCAAAUACAGGGAAAUGGAUGAUGAAUCCACUGUUCAAAUUGUAUCAUGUCUACAAUCUCACAAAACUUCAUAUGUAUAUUAUCAACCAAAGAUUAACAGCAAUGGAAGCUGGGAGUCUGUGAAUAAUCACUCGUUGGGCAUAUAAUCAUAAGGGAAGCAGUUGAUGAAGUGAAGUUGUUUUACUUCGUAGGAUAGGAAGCAAAUACAGAGCUAUUGGUCUCAUGUUAAACUGUUAGGGGUUUUGUUUAGGUAACAUUAUGUAUUUUUUUUUUUUUUAUAUUUGCAUUGUAAUUGUCAAUGAAUCAUCAAUAAAAUUAAUUUUGAAUAAUUUAUGUA